GGGUAUGUAGCUCAGUGGGAAAGCACUUGCCUACAGUAAUGCAUGAGGACCUGGGUUAAUAAUCCCCAGCACCUCCA
rnacentral:tRNA from 1 species